rnacentral:rRNA from 1 species
UACGGAGGGAGCUAGCGUUGUUCAGAAUUACUGGGCGUAAAGCGCGCGUAGGCGGCUUUGUAAGUUAGAGGUGAAAGCCUGGAGCUCAACUUCAGAAUUGCCUUUAAGACUGCAUCGCUUGAAUCCGGGAGAGGUGAGUGGAAUUCCGAGUGUAGAGGUGAAAUUCGUAGAUAUUCGGAAGAACACCAGUGGCGAAGGCGGCUCACUGGACCGGCAUUGACGCUGAGGUGCGAAAGCGUGGGGAGCAAACAGGG